rnacentral:rRNA from 1 species
GCCCUUCUGGUUGAUCCUGCCAGUCAUAUGCUUGUCUUGAGGGUUAAGCCAUGCACGCCUACGCUCACCCUGCUCUCAAGGGGAAGCCGCGAACUGCUCAGUAGAUCGGCGAUAAUACACGGGGUGGGCGAUGUUUGUCCCGGACACCUGUAGGAAUCCCAGAGCUAAUACGUGCACACGAGUCCUCUUCCCAACGGGGUUUCGGCUUCGACGGGGAUUGGGCGCAUUUAUUAGGAUCUCGACCGACGGCGGGCGACCGCCGAGGCUGAGGCGAACUCUGGGUAUGUGACGACCGCUAGUAAAAUAGCGGCAUGCCCGUUUGCUCGCCGUCCCAUCAAAUUUAGACGGCCCGGGCAAAAGCCCCCCGUGUUGGCUACGGGUGACGGAGGAUCAGGGUUCGAUCCCGGAGAGGGAGCCUGCGAGACGGCUACCACGCUUAAGGGUGGCAGCAGGCGCGCAACUUACCCACUCCCAGCACGGUGAGGUAGUGAAGAUAAAUGUCGGGGCUGGGCUCGCCUGCGAGCCUAGCGGUCGGAUUGAGCGUAGACCAAACACGUGCCGUUGAUGACCUAUCGGAGGGCAAGCCUGGUGCCAGCAGCCGCGGUAAUUCCAGCUCCGGUAGCGUAUGUUGUAGUUGCUGCGUUUAAAACGCUCGUAGUUGGAUCUCUGAGAUGACGGCGGCGACGAACCGCGGGCGGCGUUGUUCCCCGGCGGUUAUGCACCGUCGCGGUCGGGGGAUGGCGCCGCUCCCUCGUUCCUUCCUCCGUCCGUUCCUCCGCGCUCUCCUCACCUCCCUCCCCUUUCCCCCCUCCCUCCCGGUACGUGGCGUAUCCGCGGCGGGGCAGUGGGGUGAUUCGGGGUCCGGGGGGGAUCCGGGGGUCCGGCGAUCGAAAAGGUCCGAAUAGGGCGGUGCUCUCCCUGAAUCAAUUGGAGUGCUCAAAGCAGGUCGUGCUCGCACAGCUUUGCUCGGAACGAUGUGAUGACGCCACCGUCCCGCAGAUCUUGCCAACACGGGCCCGGUCGCCGCGGGGACGGUGGGCGAGGUCUACAGAGACGGCCGGGGGGCGGCGUACUACCGCGGGAGGGGUGGAAUCCGACGAUCGCGGUGGGACGAACGAGAGCGAAGGCACCGGCCAAGAGCGCCUUCGUUGAUCAUGAACGAAAGUCGGAGGAACGAACGCGAUCAGGUACCGCGGUAGUUCCGACAGUAAACCAUGCCGACCGGUUACGCGGGGACGUCCCCAGUGGGGAAGCCUCGCGAGGCCCCGGAGAAAUCAGAGUGCCUGGGCUCCGGGGGGAGUACGGUCGCAAGGCUGAAACUUAAAGGAAUUGACGGAAGGGCACCACCAGGAGUGGAGCCUGCGGCUCAAUUUGACUCAACACGGGGAAGCUUACCAGGUCCAGACACUGCGCGGAUUGACAGACUGAGGCUCUUUCAUGAUUCGGUGGGUGGUGGUGCAUGGCCGUUGCUAGCCCGUGGAGCGAUCCGUCUGGUUCAUUCCGAUAACGGGCGAGACUCUUCCCUGGCGGAAAAUCACAACGGCGGUCGCCGGGUUUCGGCGUCCUCGCUCGCCCGUCGCCCCUUCUUCGCUCCUCGCGGGGUGUUGGGGGGGAGGUGAGCAGGCGGGGCGUCACGGACCGCCGUCGCGCAAUGCCGCGUCCUGCAGGGAUUGACCUCGAGCAGUGCGUACGAGAUGGAGCCAUAACAGGUCUGUGAUGCCCUUAGACGUCCUGGGCUGCACGUGUGCUACAGUGGCGGCGACAGCCGGCGCGGUGGCGAUCGCGAUGCUCAGGCGUCUUCAUGUCCGGGGUCGGUCUGCCUGCGAGUUGGGCCGUGAACUCGGAAUGCCACGUAGGCGCGGGUCAGCAUCCCGUGCCGACUACGUCCCUGCCCUUUGUACACACCGCCCGUCGCUACCUUCGGUGGACGGCGCAGCCAGGGCCCCGGAGCGCCCGGCGAGACGGGGGGCUUUCCGUCCUCCGCCAUCGCCGCUCGUCGCGAUGUCGCCCGAACUGCGCUGCCCCGAGAGGGUAAAAGUCGUAACAAGGUUACCGUAGGUGAACCUGCGGAAGGAUC